GAUGAACGCUGGCGGCGUGCCUAAUACAUGCAAGUCGAGCGAACGGACGAGAAGCUUGCUUCUCUGAUGUUAGCGGCGGACGGGUGAGUAACACGUGGAUAACCUACCUAUAAGACUGGGAUAAUUUCGGGAAACCGGAGCUAAUACCGGAUAAUAUUUUGAACCGCAUGGUUCAAAAGUGAAAGACGGUCUUGCUGUCACUUAUAGAUGGAUCCGCGCUGCAUUAGCUAGUUGGUAAGGUAACGGCUUACCAAGGCAACGAUGCAUAGCCGACCUGAGAGGGUGAUAGGCCACACUGGAAGUGAGACACGGUCCAGACUCCUACGAGAGGCAGCAGUAGGGUAUCUUCCGCAAUGGGCGAAAGCCUGACGGAGCAACGCCGCGUGAGUGAUGAAGGUCUUCGGAUCGUAAAACUCUGUUAUUAGGGAAGAACAUAUGUGUAAGUAACUGUGCACAUCUUGACGGUACCUAAUCAGAAAGCCACGGCUAACUACGUG
rnacentral:rRNA from 1 species